CCUACGGGGGGCAGCAGUGGGGAAUAUUGCACAAUGGGCGCAAGCCUGAUGCAGCCAUGCCGCGUGUGUGAAGAAGGCCUUCGGGUUGUAAAGCACUUUCAGCGGGGAGGAAGGCGUUAAGGUUAAUAACCUUGGCGAUUGACGUUACCCGCAGAAGAAGCACCGGCUAACUCCGUGCCAGCAGCCGCGGUAAUACGGAGGGUGCAAGCGUUAAUCGGAAUUACUGGGCGUAAAGCGCACGCAGGCGGUCUGUCAAGUCGGAUGUGAAAUCCCCGGGCUCAACCUGGGAACUGCAUUCGAAACUGGCAGGCUAGAGUCUUGUAGAGGGGGGUAGAAUUCCAGGUGUAGCGGUGAAAUGCGUAGAGAUCUGGAGGAAUACCGGUGGCGAAGGCGGCCCACUGGACAAAGACUGACGCUCAGGUGCGAAAGCGUGGGGAGCAAACAGGAUUAGAUACCCUAGUAGUC
rnacentral:rRNA from 1 species